UACGGGGGGGGCAAGCGUUGUUCGGAAUUACUGGGCGUAAAGGGCUCGUAGGUGGCCAACUAAGUCAGACGUGAAAUCCCUCAGCUUAACUGGGGAACUGCGUCUGAUACUGGAUGGCUUGAGUUUGGGAGAGGGAUGCGGAAUUCCAGGUGUAGCGGUGAAAUGCGUAGAUAUCUGGAGGAACACCGGUGGCGAAGGCGGCAUCCUGGACCACACUGACGCUGAGUGAGCGAAAGCCAGGGGAGCAAACGGG
rnacentral:rRNA from 1 species